rnacentral:lncRNA from 1 species
AUGACACCAGCUUCUUGCUUUUCUUGUGGUUUUCCUCCAGGGCUGGGAAAUCCCCCUACAUCACUUUUUCUACCUUGGUUUUCAACAGUCACUGGUCUGGGAAGCAGAUUAUUGGAGCCAUUUCUGUUCCUCCUGCUUCUGCUUUGUUCUCUAACCUGCAGGGUUAGGCUUGGCGAGGAGAUUAACUUGGAGAUAUAUUGCUGGAUGAUAAGAGAGAAGAUUCUGGACCAUCAAGAGAUGACAGCUGAAUGGGGGACAGCUAUAUCAGGAAUAAAGCAUCUUAAACAUCAUGAAAAGCCAGGCACCUGCAGGCCAAGGACAACCAGUCGUAUUAGGAACAAUAGAACUGAGGCCUCUGAGAGACACUGUGGGUGGAGCCACUAUGGUAACGUGCUUGGCAACGUAGAUGUCCAUGGGGAGAACCUCUGCCUAGUGGUCCAGGGGGCACUGGAGAACCCCUGCCCCUCUUUUCCCCCUUGGUUGGUGCUGAGACACCAUUCAGAGAGCUGCUCCAAGGUCUCCUGGGAUCCUACAGCAGUAUCCUGUAGCAUGGCCAACUCAGUAACACAGGUCUGUAUCGGUUCUUUCUCUACCCUCUUCACUCCCCCCUCCCUCGCUUCUGCUCCUUUGAUCACAUUCCCCAGAAAGAGUUUGCACUUUGAUCUCUGUCUUAGGAUCUGCUCUCCGCAAAACCCAAAACCCUUUUCAUGAGCACUGGUGAUGUACUUGAUCUUCCUGUGACUACUUUCUUGUACUUGAUUUUUUGAACCUAAACAUAAGAUUUGACAUGGAGAUUUGCUACAUGCCUUCUAUUGAAAUGUUUUUAACUCUGUUUUGUCAUUUAACAGUGUUAGCUGUCCUUCUUAGCCUUGAGUUAUCUACAAAUUUGUUCAUAAAAUUCAUUGCCUGUUAAAAAAAAGCCAUCAACGACCAACCUCUGUAACCUCAUCUCAUGCUCCACUCUCCUUGAUAAUGCCCCUCAGGUGGCCUCACCUCCUACAGGUGCACAAAUGGCCAAGCUCUUCCCCCUCAGGGUCUUGCACUUGCUACUCUUUCUGCUUGAAUCCUCUUCCUCAGGCUCUUCCCAUGGACAUCUCUUUGUCAUACUCUAGGACUCAGCUUAAAUGUCACUGCUCAGAGAGUACUUCUGUGACCAUCGUGCAUCUGUCUGAGCACUUAUCCCAGUGCAUGGGUACCAUGGACCCUUCAUUAGUUUGCUUGUGUGUUAUUCACUGCCCUAAUUAGAAUGAAAUCUCCAGGAAGGCAGGGAUGUCGUCUCUUUUCUCCAUUGCUUUGUCCCCAGCAUCUCGCCCACAGUCUGUCAUCUGGCAGGGGCUCAAUCAAUAUUGACACAUCCCCUCCACUUGUGCGCUAGAUCCUGUCCCCUCUCAACUCCUCAAGGGCAUUGUGUUGCCAGCUCUCCCUCCUCUCUCCUAGGGCAUCAGUAUCCCUCUUUCCUGGGUCAUUCCCAUCAGCAGACAGAUGUGCUGUAAUUUCUCCUGUCUUAAAAAGCAAAACAAAUAAACAAAAACCACUCUUGCUCCGUAUCCUCUUU